rnacentral:rRNA from 1 species
GAUGAACGCUGGCGGCGUGCCUAAUACAUGCAAGUCGAACGAACGGACGAGAAGCUUGCUUCUCUGAUGUUAGCGGCGGACGGGUGAGUAACACGUGGAUAACCUACCUAUAAGACUGGGAUAACUUCGGGAAACCGUAGCUAAUACCGGAUAAUAUUUUGAACCGCAUUGUUCAAAAGUGAAAGACGGUCUUGCUGUCACUUAUAGAUGGAUCCGCGCUGCAUUAGCUAGUUGGUAAGGUAACGGCUUACCAAGGCAACGAUGCAUAGCCGACCUGAGAGGGUGAUCGGCCACACUGGAAAUGAGACACGGUCCAGACUCUUAAGGGAGGCAGCAGUAGGGAAUCGUCCGCAAUGGGCGAAAGCCUGACGGAGCAACGCCGCGUGAGUGAUGAAGGUCUUAGGAUCGUAAAACUCUGUUAUUAGGGAAGAACAUAUGUGUAAGUAACUGUGCACAUCUUGACGGUACCUAAUCAGAAAGCCACGGCUAACUACGUG